GGGAUUGCCCUAGUAACGGCGAGUGAAGCGGCAACAGCUCAAAUUUGAAAUCUGGCCCUCGGGUCCGAAUUGUAAUUUGUAGAGGAUGCUUUUGGUGCGGUGCCUUCCGAGUUCCCUGGAACGGGACGCCAGAGAGGGUGAGAGCCCCGUACGGUUGGACACCUACCCUAUAUAUAGCUCCUUCGACGAGUCGAGUAGUUUGGGAAUGCUGCUCUAAAUGGGAGGUAAAUUUCUUCUAAAGCUAAAUACCGGCCAGAGACCGAUAGCGCACAAGUAGAGUGAUCGAAAGAUGAAAAGCACUUUGAAAAGAGGGUUAAAUAGCACGUGAAAUUGUUGAAAGGGAAGCGUUUGUGACCAGACUUUUUCCUAGUGGAUCAUCCGGUGUUCUCACCGGUGCACUUCACUGGGUUUAGGCCAGCAUCGGUUUCCGGAGGGGGACAAAAGCAUGGGGAAUGUGGCUCUUUCGGGAGUGUUAUAGCCCCUAGCAUAAUACCUCUCCUGGGGACCGAGGACCGCGCUUCGGCAAGGAUGCUGGCGUAAUGGUUAUCAACGACCCGUCUUGAAACACGGACCAAGGAGUCGAACAUUUGUGCGAGUGUUUGGGUAUCAAACCCUCACGCGUAAUGAAAGUGAACGGAGGUGAGAGCCCUUCGGGGUGCAUCAUCGACCGAUCCUGAUGUCUUCGGAUGGAUUUGAGUAAGAGCAUAACUGUUCGGACCCGAAAGAUGGUGAACUAUGCGUGGAUAGGGUGAAGCCAGAGGAAACUCUGGUGGAGGCUCGCAGCGGUUCUGACGUGCAAAUCGAUCGUCAAAUCUGCGCAUGGGGGCGAAAGACUUAUCGAACCAUCUAGUAGCUGGUACGCG
rnacentral:rRNA from 1 species